rnacentral:rRNA from 1 species
CCUACGGGCGGCAGCAGUGGGGAAUAUUGGACAAUGGAGGCAACCCUGAUCCAGCCAUGCCGCGUGUGUGAAGAAGGCCCUCGGGUUGUAAAGCACUUUCAGUGAGGAAGAACGCCUGGUGGUUAAUACCCAUCAGGAAAGACAUCACUCACAGAAGAAGCACCGGCUAACUCCGUGCCAGCAGCCGCGGUAAUACGGAGGGUGCGAGCGUUAAUCGGAAUUACUGGGCGUAAAGCGCGCGUAGGUGGCUUGAUAAGCCGGUUGUGAAAGCCCCGGGCUCAACCUGGGAACGGCAUCCGGAACUGUCAAGCUAGAGUGCAGGAGAGGAAGGUAGAAUUCCCGGUGUAGCGGUGAAAUGCGUAGAGAUCGGGAGGAAUACCAGUGGCGAAGGCGGCCUUCUGGACUGACACUGACACUGAGGUGCGAAAGCGUGGGUAGCAAACAGGAUUAGAUACCCCGGUAGUC